CAGGACUUAACCCACGUGUGAACAGUAUGUGUUCACCAUGUUCACAGUGGUUAAGUUCUGCC
rnacentral:pre_miRNA from 1 species